rnacentral:rRNA from 1 species
GACGAACGCUGGCGGCGUGCUUAACACAUGCAAGUCGAACGGAAAGGCCCUGCUUUUGUGGGGUGCUCGAGUGGCGAACGGGUGAGUAACACGUGAGUAACCUGCCCUUGACUUUGGGAUAACUUCAGGAAACUGGGGCUAAUACCGGAUAGGAGCUCCUGCUGCAUGGUGGGGGUUGGAAAGUUUCGGCGGUUGGGGAUGGACUCGCGGCUUAUCAGCUUGUUGGUGGGGUAGUGGCUUACCAAGGCUUUGACGGGUAGCCGGCCUGAGAGGGUGACCGGCAAAAUGGGGACUGAGAUACGGCCCAGACUCCUACGGGAGGCAGCAGUGGGGAAUAUUGCACAAUGGGCGGAAGCCUGAUGCAGCAACGCCGGGGGCGGGAUGACGGCCUUCGGGUUGUAAACGGCUUUCGCCUGUGACGAAGCGUGAGUGACGGUAAUGGGUAAAGAAGCACCGGCUAACUACGU